GGAUUAGUGUUAGUGGUCUAACAUAUUGAUUGCAAAUUAAUUAUUUUUGAGUUCAAUUCUCAUCUAGUCCU
rnacentral:tRNA from 1 species